rnacentral:lncRNA from 1 species
UUCAGUUUAGGGUUGGAGCCCUAAUGCCGACUAGCUGGGGAGAAGUUCAGUUUAGAGUUGAAACUCUAAUUCUGACUAACUGGGGAAAAGUUCAGCUUAGGGUCGGGGCCCUAAUGCUGACUGAAGGAAAAGAGUUCAGUUUAGGGUUUAAAACCCUAACGUUGACUGAAUGGAAAAGUUCAGUUUAGGGUUUAAAACCCUAAUGCUGACUGAAUGGAAAAGUUCAGUUUAGGGUUUAAAACCCUAAUGCUGACUGAAUGGAAAAGUUCAGUUUAGGGUUUAAAACCCUAAUGCUGACUGAAUGGAAAAAGUUCAGUUUAGGGUUUAAAACCCUAAUGCUGACUAAAUGGAAAAAGUUCAGUUUAGGGUUUUAAAACCCUAAUGCUGAUUAAAGGAAAAAGUUCAGUUUAGGGUUUAAAACCCUAAUGCUGAUUAAAGGAAAAAGUUCAGUUUAGGGUUUAAAACCCUAAUGCUGACUGAAUGGAAAAAGUUCAGUUUAGGGUUUAAAACCCUAAUGCUGACUGAAUGGAAAAAGUUCAGUUUAGGGUUUAAAACCCUAAUGCUGACUAAAUGGAAAGAGUUCAGUUUAGGGUUUUAAAACCCUAAUGCUGACUGAACGGAAAAGUUCAGUUUAGGGUUUAAAACCCUAAUGCUGACUGACUGAGGAAGUUCAAUUUAGGGUUUAAAACCCUAAUGCUGACUGAAUGGAAAAAGUUCAGUUUAGGGUUUAAAACCUUAAUGCUGACAAAAUGGAAAAAAGUUUAGUUUAGGGUUUAAAACCCUAAUGCUGACUAAAUGGAAAGAGUUCAGUUUAGGGUUUAAAACCCUAAUGCUGACUGAACGGAAAAGUUCAGUUUAGGGUUUAAAACCCUAAUGCUGAUUAAAGGAAAGAGUUCAGUUUAGGGUUUAAAACCCUAAUGCUGACUGAAUAGAAAAAGUUCAGUUUAGGGUUUAAAACCCUAAUACUGAUUGAAGGAAAGAGUUCAGUUUAGAGUUUAAAACCCUAAUGCUGACUAAAAGGAAAGUUCAGUUUAGGGUUUAAAACCCUUAUACUGACUGGCUGGAAAGAGUUCAGUUAUGGGUUUAAAACCCUAAUGCUGACUAAAGAUAAAGUUCAGUUUAGGGUUUAAAACCCUAAUACUGACUGGCUGGAAAGAGUUCAGUUUAGGGUUUAAAACCCUAAUGCUGACUGAAUGGAAAAAGUUUAGUUUAGGGUUUAAAACCCUAAUAUUGACUGAAUGGAUAAAGUUCAGGUUAGGGUUUAUAACCCUAAUGCUGACUAAAGGGAAAAAGUUCAGUUUAGGGUUUUAAAACCCUAAUGCUGUCUAAAGGAAAGAGUUCAGUUUAGGAUUUAAAACCCUAAUACUGACUAAAUGGAAAAAAUCAGUUUAGGGUUUAAAACCCUAAUGCUGACUGAAGGAAAGAGUUCAGUUUAGGGUUUAAAACCCUAAUGCUGACUAAAGGGAAAUUUCAGUUUAGGGUUUAAAACCCUAAUACUGACUGGCUGGAAAGAGUUCAGUUUAGGGUUUAAAACCCUAAUGCUGACUGAAUGGAAAAAGUUCAGUUUAGGGUUUAAAACCCUAAUGCGACUCUGACUACAGGAAAAAGUUCAGUUUAGGGUUUAAAACCCUAAUGCUGACUAUAGGAAAAGUUCAGUUUAGGGUUUAAAACCCUAAUACUGACUGAAUGGGAAAAAAUUCAGUUUAGGGGUUUAAAACCCUAAUGCUGACUAAAGGGAAAGUUUAGUUUAGGGUUUAAAACCCUAAUGCUGACUGAAGGAAAGAGUUUAGUUUAGGGUUUAAAACCCUAAUGCUGACUAAAGGGAAAGUUCAGUUUAGGGUUUAAAAUCCUAAUUCUGACUGGCUGGAAAGAGUUCAGUUUAGGGUUUAAAACCCUAAUGCUGACUGAAUGGAAAAGAGUUCAGUUUAGGGUUUAAAACCCUAAUGCUGACUAAAGGGAAAGUUCAAUUUAGGGUUUAAAACCCUAAUACUGACUGGCUGGAAAGAGUUCAGUUUAGGGUUUGAAACCCUAAUGCUGACUCUGACUACAGGAAAAAGUUCAGUUUAGGGUUUAAAACCCUAAUGCUGACUGAAUGGAAAAGAGUUCAGUUUAGGGUUUAAAACCCUAAUGCUGACUACAGGAAAAGUUCAGUUUAGGGUUUAAAACCCUAAUGCUGACUGAAUGGAAAAGAGUUCUGUUUAGGGUUUAAAACCCUAAUGCUGACUAAAUGGAAAAGUUCAGUUUACAAAGGGACUCUCCAGGGUUUAAAUGGAAAAGUUCAGUUUACAAAGGGACUCUCCAGAGUUCAGUUUAGGGUUUAAAACCCUAAUGCUGACUCUGACUACAGGAAAAAGUUCAGUUUAGGGUUUAAAAUCCUAAUGCUGACUGAAUGGAAAAAGUUCAGUUUAGGGUUUAAAACCCUAAUGCUAACUAAAGGGAAAGUUCAGUUUAGGGUUUAAAACCCUAAUGCUGACUAAAGGGAAAGUUCAGUUUAGGGUUUAAAACCCUAAUGCUGACUAAAGGGAAAGUUAAGUUUAGAGUUUAAAACCCUAAUACUGACUGGCUGGAAAGAGUUCAGUUUAGGGUUUAAAACCCUAAUGCUGACUCUGACUACAGGAAAAAGUUCAGUUUAGGGUUUAAAACCCUAAUGCUGACUGAAUGGAAAAGAGUUCAGUUUAGGGUUUAAAACCCUAAUGCUGACUACAGGAAAAGUUCAGUUUAGGGUUUAAAACCCUAAUGCUGACUGAAUGAAAAAGAGUUCAAUUUAGGGUCUAAAACCCUAAUGCUGACUAAAUGGAAAAGUUCAGUUUAGGGUUUAAAACCCUAAUGCUGACUAAAGGAAAGAGUUCAGUUUAGGGUUUAAAACCCUAAUGAUGACUAAAGGGAAAGUUCAGUUUAGGGUUUAAGACCCUAAUGCUGACUGAAUGGAAAAAGUUCAGUUUAGGGUUUAAAACCCCAAUGCUGACUGAAUGGAAAGAGUUCAGUUUAGGGUUUAAAAUCCUAAUGCUGACUGAAUGGAAAAGAGUUCAGUUUAGGAUUUAAAACCCUAAUGCUGACUACAGGAAAAGUUCAGUUUAGGGUUUAAAACCCUAAUGCUGACUGAAUGAAAAAGAGUUCAAUUUAGGGUCUAAAACCCUAAUGCUGAAUAAAUGGAAAAGUUCAGUUUAGGGUUUAAAACCCUAAUGCUGACUAAAGGAAAGAGUUCAGUUUAGGGUUUAAAACCCUAAUGUUGACUGAAUGGAAAAAGUUCAGUUUAGGGUUUAAAACCCCACUGCUGACUAAAGGAAAGAGUUCAGUUUAGGGUUUAAAAUCCUAAUGCUGACUGAAUGGAAAAAGUUCAGUUUAGGGUUUAAAACCCUAAUGCUGACUGAAGGAAAGAGUUUAGUUUAGGGUUUAAAACUCUAAUGCUGACUGGCUGGGAAAGUUCAGUUUAGGGUUUAAAACCCUAAUGCUGACUGAAUGGAAAAAGUUCAGUUUAGGGUUUAAAACCCUAAUGCUGACUGAAUGGGAAAAAGUUCAGUUU